rnacentral:rRNA from 1 species
GACGAACGCUGGCGGCGUGCUUAACACAUGCAAGUCGAACGGAAAGGCCUCUUUCGGGGGGUACUCGAGUGGCGAACGGGUGAGUAACACGUGAGUAACCUGCCCUUGACUUUGGGAUAACUUCAGGAAACUGGGGCUAAUACCGGAUAGGAGCUCCUGCUGCAUGGUGGGGGUUGGAAAGUUUCGGCGGUUGGGGAUGGACUCGCGGCUUAUCAGCUUGUUGGUGGGGUAGUGGCUUACCAAGGCUUUGACGGGUAGCCGGCCUGAGAGGGUGACCGGCCACAUUGGGACUGAGAUACGGCCCAGACUCCUACGGGAGGCAGCAGUGGGGAAUAUUGCACAAUGGGUGGAAGCCUGAAGCAGCAACGCCGUGUGCGGGAUGACGGCCUUCGGGUUGGAAACCGCUUUCGCUCAUGACGAAGCUUUGUGUGACGGUAGUGGGUAAAGAAGCACCGGCUAACUACGUG